AGAGUUUGAUCCUAGCUCAGGAUGAACGCUAGCGGUGCGCCUAACACAUGCAAGUCGAGCGAGAAUUUGAAAUAGCUUGCUAUUUUAAAGGAAAGCGGCGAACGGGCGAGUAACACGUUGGAAUCUGCCCUUUGGUCAGGGAUAGCCAGAAGAAAUUCUGAUUAAUACCGGAUAGUCUCUUCGGAGUAAAGAUUUAUUGCCAAAGGAGGAGCCUGCGUCCUAUCAGCUAGUUGGUGAGGUAACGGCUCACCAAGGCUAUGACGGGUAACUGAUCUGAGAGGAUGAUCAGUCGCAAUGGAACUGAGACACGGUCCAUACUCCUACGGGAGGCAGCAGUGAGGAAUCUUCCACAAUGGGCGCAAGCCUGAUGGAGCGACACCGCGUGAAGGAUGAAGGCCUAACGGUUGUAAACUUCUUUUCUGAGGGAGCAUAAUGAGAGUACUUCAGGAAUAAGGGACGGCUAAAUACGUGCCAGCAGCCGCGGUAAUACGUAUGUCUCAAGCGUUAUCCGGAAUUACUGGGUGUAAAGAGUUCGUAGGUUGUUAGUUAAGUUAGGUAUGAAAGACCGGAGCUCAACUCCGUGUUUGUGCUUAAAACUGGCUGACUAGAAUUAGGGAGAGGUAAGCGGAAUUCUAAGUGUAGGAGUGCAAUCCGUAGAUACUUAGAGGAACACCAAAAGCGAAGGCAGCUUACUGGAACUAUAUUGACGCUGAGGAACGAAAGCGUGGGGAGCGAAAGGGAUUAGAUACCCCUGUAGUCCACGCC
rnacentral:rRNA from 1 species